GCCGGUGGCAUAGCGUCAGUACGCGGAAAAUUCUGCGUAACCAAGUGGGGCCCAGCUCGUUUCGCACGAGAAAAGGAUCUAGCCACGUCUCAUUGGGAUUUUGAGCUAGCCGUGUCGAUUUGUCUGUGGACAUGGAUCAUAAUUAUAUAUGCUGUACUUUUAGCCGAAACACACAAUCCUGAAAAAUUCAGCAACAGCGGCCACCAGAAAAGGCAAUUGGGUCGGGG
rnacentral:lncRNA from 1 species